rnacentral:misc_RNA from 1 species
UCCGGUUUAACACCGGCAGUCUCCAUAGAGUGCCCAACUAAAUGAUGGCAACUAGGGAUAAGGGUUGCGCUCGUUAAGGGACUUAACCCGACAUCUCACGAUACGAGCUGACGACAGCCAUGCAGCACCUAAACCACGGGUCCCCGAAGGGAAAACCGUAUCUCUACAGCUGUCCUGUGUUGUCUAACCCAGGUAAGGUUCUUCGCGUUGCCUCGAAUUAAGCCACAUGCUCCGCCGCUUGUGCGGGCCCCCGUCAAUUCCUUUGAGUUUUAGCCUUGCGGCCGUACUCCCCAGGCGGGGCGCUUAAUGCGUUAGCUGCGGCACGGAUCCCGUGGAAGGGAACCCACACCUAGCGCCCAACGUUUACGGCGUGGACUAC